CUUAUGGUGUAAUGGAUAGCACAAUGGUCUUCGGAACCAUUAGUGAGGGUUCAAAUCCUUCUAGGC
rnacentral:tRNA from 1 species